rnacentral:rRNA from 1 species
CAAUAGCGUAUAUUUAAGUUGUUGCAGUUAAAAGGCUCGUAGUUGGAUUUCGGGUGGGACGCAGCGGUCUCGCAUUGCGUUUGUACUGCUGCAGCCCUCCUUCUUGCCGGGGGCGGCCUCUCGGACUUCACUGUCUGGGGGUCAGAAUCGGCGAUGUUACUUUGAGUAAAUUAGAGUGUUCAAAGCAAGCUUACGCUCUGAAUAUAAUAGCAUGGGAUAACACGACAGGACUCUGGCCUAUCGUGUUGGUCUAUAGGACCAGAGUAAUGAUUAAGAGGGACAGUCGGGGGCAUUCGUAUUCCAUUGUCAGAGGUGAAAUUCUUGGAUUUCUGGAAGACGAACGAAUGCGAAAGCAUUUACCAAGGAUGUUUNCAUUAA